rnacentral:rRNA from 1 species
CCUACGGGGUGCAGCAGUGGGGGAUAUUGCACAAUGGGGGGACCCUGAUGCAGCGACGCCGCGUGGGUGAAGGAGUUCUUCGGCCUGUAAAGCCCUAUCGGCAGGGAAGAAGCAAGACGGUACCUGACUAAGAAGCCCCGGCUAACCACGUGCCAGCCGCCGCGGUAAUACGUAGGGGGCGAGCGUUAGCCGGAUUCACCUGGUGUAAAGGGAGCGUAGACGGCCAUGCAAGGCAGGGGUGAAAGCCCGGGGCCCAACCCCGGGACUGCCCUUGGAACUGUGCGGCUAGAGUGCGGGAGGGGCAGGCGGAAUUACUGGGGUAGCGGUGAAAGGCGUAGAUAUCAGGAGGAACACCGGCGGCGAAGGCGGCCUGCUGGACCGCGACUGACGUUGAGGCUCGAAAGCGUGGGGAGCGAACAGGAUUAGAUACCCCAGUAGUC